rnacentral:rRNA from 1 species
UGGCUCAGAUUGAACGCUGGCGGCAGGCCUAACACAUGCAAGUCGAGCGGAUGAAGGGAGCUUGCUCCCUGAUUCAGCGGCGGACGGGUGAGUAAUGCCUAGGAAUCUGCCUGGUAGUGGGGGACAACGUUUCGAAAGGAACGCUAAUACCGCAUACGUCCUACGGGAGAAAGCAGGGGACCUUCGGGCCUUGCGCUAUCAGAUGAGCCUAGGUCGGAUUAGCUAGUUGGUGAGGUAAUGGCUCACCAAGGCGACGAUCCGUAACUGGUCUGAGAGGAUGAUCAGUCACACUGGAACUGAGACACGGUCCAGACUCCUACGGGAGGCAGCAGUGGGGAAUAUUGGACAAUGGGCGAAAGCCUGAUCCAGCCAUGCCGCGUGUGUGAAGAAGGUCUUCGGAUUGUAAAGCACUUUAAGUUGGGAGGAAGGGUUGCUGAUUAAUACUCUGCAAUUUUGACGUUACCGACAGAAUAAGCACCGGCUAACUCUGUGCCAGCAGCCGCGGUAAUACAGAGGGUGCAAGCGUUAAUCGGAAUUACUGGGCGUAAAGCGCGCGUAGGUGGUUUGUUAAGUUGGAUGUGAAAGCCCCGGGCUCAACCUGGGAACUGCAUCCAAAACUGGCAAGCUAGAGUAGGGCAGAGGGUGGUGGAAUUUCCUGUGUAGCGGUGAAAUGCGUAGAUAUAGGAAGGAACACCAGUGGCGAAGGCGACCACCUGGGCUCAUACUGACACU